rnacentral:lncRNA from 1 species
GGGCUGGGCAAGGCGGGAGGAGCGCGGACCCAAGAUCGGCUACGCUGCGUCUGCUCAGGCUGCGAGUUCCCGGCUCUGGGGACUCACCUUGCGGAGCUUACCCAGGCGGACUCUCCGCAGCCCCUGAUGGGUGUGUGUGUCAGACCGUUUACUAAACACCAGGACUGUUGUAGGCGACUGUAAGAAAUAAGAAUAUUGCAUGGUUACAAUUCUUGAAUGCUUACCUUGUGUCUUGUUCCUUACUCUACAGAAAUUUUCUAAUCCCGUGGCGAACCCCCGUACUUCAACGUAUGACAUUCUGUAAAUCUACAAAACAGAUGGGUCCCUGCCUUUGAGAAGUUUUUACAAUUUAGUGGGUACUGGACACGGACCUAAUUUAAUUCUCACAUGCCUUCCCUUUCUAAUAAGCUGCAUGUUAUGUAUCCCUAUUCUACAGAUGUGGGGAAUCCGAAAUUUUUAGCUUUUACUGGGACACACAGCUAGCAAGCAACUAAAGCGAGAAUUCCAACCUGAGCUCCAAUCCGAACUAUUUUCAUAAAAGGCAGGAUCCCAGGCUGAGGGAGUUCGAGGUUUGGGAGACAGUUUAGCAGUCGCUGAGUCCAAACAUGUUGUUUUCCUAGAAAAGAAAACUGAGAUCCAGGAAAGGGAAGUGAUUUUCCAAAGACACACCUGUGAAAGGUGAGGAGAACAGCCCAGUGAGGCUGAGGCCACACAAUUAACCCCAGUCUUUGCACUACAACUCUACCAGGGAUCCUGGUUUGGCUCAUUUUCUUUCUUCUGCACCAUGAUUGUUCACCUUUUCAUUACCAGCAACAUACCCAAAGACCUAGCUAUAGACUCGUUGGAAUCUGUUACUUAGCAGCUGUGUGAAUCAAGUGUUCAAUAGGAAUAAUAAGAUGUAUUCAUCUUACCUUUUCAGAACAUUAUGAAGAACAAAUGUGGUAAGACAUAUGAAAAUGCUUUGUAAAGUGUUAGAUGCUUAAUACACAGAAGACAUUGCUUCCAGAUCUGUUUCAACGUACCCCAAGAAUGGAAUAAGUGGAAUAUGCUGGUUUCAUGCACUGUGGCAAGGGGGUCUCAUCUUGGCUAGACUUGAAUAAGUGGAUUUGUUGCCUGGCCUCUGUGGAUGGCUCUUUCUCUGGGCUUUUGUGUAUUUGAUUUUUUAUUUGCUCCAGCAGCCGUGUUGAACCAUGAAAGGACCUCAGGAAUGAAACCCACACACAGCAAAGCAACAAAGUGAAAGAAGCGUGGAUUCCUAAUGCAGGAGGCACUGAACCAAUCAAUACCCACUGCCCUCCAGACCUCCACAUGAAAGAAAAAAACUGCUGUCCUGUGUAAGACACUUUUAUUUUGUGUUUCUAUUGUAUGAGGUCAAACCUAAUAACAGAUAUAUUACACUCUAACAGAUACAUUACAUUGUAUAGUAGAAUUCUCAGACAGCAACCUUAUAAGGUGAUAGAUGCAGAAACAGGCCCAAAGAGUAAAAAUAAUUUGUUCAGAGUUUUCCAGCCAAGUGGCGAAGGUGAGAUUCUUACCUGGGUUUGUCUGAAACCAAUUUUCACUAUCUUUUUCAGUUAUGAUACACUGCCUAUUACGAAUGAAUGAAUCCUUUUUUUUUUUUCCAUUUACUUCCAUUUGAUUCAUUUAUUCCAGGGAGUGACACUUUUUCUGUAAAGGACCGAUAGUAAAUAUUUUAGACUUUGUGAGCAAUACAGUCUCUGUUGCAACUACUCAACUUUGUAAUGUAAAAGCAGCCAUAGACAAUAGUAAAUGAGUAGGUAUGACUAUGUUUCAAUAAAACUUUACUUACACAAGCAGGCAAUGGACAAUGUGGCCCAUGAGCCUUAGUUUGCCAACCCCUAAUGAAAUGGGAAAAGUUCCCUUGUCCCCUUCACAGGGCGUGCGAUGUGGGUGUGACUCACUUCUUCAGUCCCCACUGCACAAACCUCUAGGGAAGCAUACAGACAGGUAGGCUGUGGAGAUCUGACCCCACGGCAGUGUCUAGGGGUGACUGUUUACAGCCAAAGCCCCAGUGGGCACAUGUAGCAGGGUGCUCUUUUAGUUUAGCCGUCCGUGGGUGGCUUGUGUUAGCCAGCUCAAUUAAACCCCUGCCUUAUUGCAAGGACAGAGGGCUUUCUGUAUCUCGGGGUUCUUGCCUUGGUGUAGCAGAAGAAUUGGAUCACACGUGGGCUUGGAGAAUGAUUGCAAGGUUUUAUGGAGUGAAAGUAGCUCUCAGCAGGUGGAGGAGCCAAAAGGGAGAUGGUUUUCCCCUGGUGUCGGGCCGCUUGGCGGCCCAGGCUCUCCUCCCACUGCCCCAGCCAAACUCCAUGUCAUUCUGCCAGUUGGUGGCCUGCUGGCGUAAGUGUGUUCUCUCAACGUCCAGCUGCCCGCGUGUUCCUCCGCUGAUGUGCUCCUCUCGACGUCCAGCCGCCUGUUUGUCUACCUGCUAGGGUCUCAUGGUUUUUAUAGCACAGGAUGGGGGUGUGGCAGGCCAGGGUUGUCUUGGGAAAUGCAAUAUUUGGGCAGGAAAACAAAAUUAUGCCUGUCCUCACCUAGGUCCUUGGGCACACAUACGCAUGUCCCUGCCCCCUUCCCUAUCAUUUAAAGGGACACACCCUUCACUUCCCAGCACUUCUGUAUCACUAAUUUAUUGUAUUCUGAUGUUCCAUCACAAAAGUGCAUAGAGGACAUAUUAUAGAAGGUCCCCCACCUUCUGUGACAUUGUGAAAUUGCAAGCAUGCUCAUACUGCUGUCCAACAUAAGGGCUAAUGACAGUGUGGUUCAGAAGAUCCCUAAACUGACGGCCAUGAGUUCAUAUCUGCCAUUGCUACGAUUUGAAUGUGUCCCCAAGAAAGCAUGUAUUGGAAACUUAAUCCCCAAUGCAACAGUGUUGGGAGGUGAGGCCUAAUGAGAGGUGGUUAGGCCAUGCAGGCUUCACCCUCAUGAAUGGAUUAAUACCAUUGUCACAGGAAUUAGUUCAUUAUAAAAGGGCAAGUUUGAUUUCCCAACCCCUCUUUCUCACCCUCUCACCUUCUGCCAUGGGAUGACACAGGAAGAAGACACUCCCCAGAUGCCAGCAACUUGAUAUUGGACUUCCUGCCUUUAGAAACGUGAGAAAUAAAUUUUUUUUCUUUAUAAGUUA